CCGCGCGGCUGGCGGCGCCUGCGGGAGCCGCACCCCCACCCCGCGCGUGGGGAGCGGCCCCGCGCGUGGGGAGGCGCCUUCCUUACCGCGCCAGGUGCCUGGGGCGGGGCCGCGCCGCCCUCUCUGUGCCCCAGAGCUGCAGGCGAGGUGCGCAACGUCCUGGGGUAGUUUAUUGGCACAAAAAUAUUCAAAGACGACAUGGCAUCUAGACACGGCUACGCCUCGUGUGCUUUUCAGUCCAGGCCCCGCGGGAAGCUCCCAAGCGUAGUUCAGUGGUGCCCGGCGUCCACACAGAGGCACCGUACUGCGCUCGGCUUCGAUACCCUGAUCCAGGCUGAAAGGCGACCCCUCCGCCAAAGUACGGUUUUCACGUUCCAGGCAAGAAUCCAGUUUGAAAACAAUGUAACAGGAUGCUGAGAGCGUGCACACUACAUUUCUUAUUUAUGCUGACAAGGAAUUGAUCUCAGUGUGUCCUGUAGGUUGUUUCCUCGAGACAGAGAUAUGGAUCGGAAGAAACCUUGGACAGCAGGGACUGUGUACAUCAAGAGGGUCUUGGACAAAUCCUUUUGGAAUGAAAAUUGCUGCAUUAGCUCUACACAGGGCUAUCCUUUAUAUGAAACCUGAACUAGGUAAGGGGGAGGAGGGAGAACUAUGCAGAAACAGAGAUUUAAUUCACACUAUGAUUGACUUCUGUUCACGUUCUUUGUAAGACUUCAUAUUUUGCUUGACUGUACACAUAUCUCUCAGCCUGGCAGGAACACAGAAGUCUUACCAUGCUUCAACUGGCAAAAAACAGGGACAGCAAGCAAGACUAAAAGCUACAAUCCUUCCAGAGCUGGCAAGCAGAAGACAGAUUCCUGAGAAAGUGUUCUAUUGUGAAGUGCUUAGACAGGAAAAUUUGUUACUGCACAUCGUAUCACCUAUGAUAACUCUCUAUAACUUUACUCUUAGUUCCCAGCUAAUCUAUGGUCAUUUUCAUUAGUUAAGUCCUCUUGUCUUACGACUAAGUUAAUCUGAAACUCCUCACUCUUGCUGUAAGCUACCAGCAUAGAUACAGACAACUUCCAAAUCUCAAACACACGUAGUAGCUUGUUCUUCACCGUAACCUUUUCCUGAGAGUGAGCAAUAAGUACUGAUCUCAAAUUAAACAGAGAAGAAUGGUACCUCAGUGACUUUUUUCUGCACUGGAGAUGGGAUAGGGCUGUUCUCUGUGCUUUCUGCCUCACUUUCACUGUUGCUGCCCUCUGUGUUGGCACUGGUGAUGCUGGCUCCACUGGCAUGACGCAGUUUCUUCUUCUCAUCUCUGGCCUGGUUCUGAUGUUUGUAAUGAAGCACAGCUUCAAAGUUCAUCACUGCCCAUGCAUGCCAGGCCUGCCAAAAGAAGAGAACUUCAACAAAAAUCAGAGGAAAGAUGAAUCUUUUCUGCAACCUGUACUGUCUAAUGAUUAGAGAUGUAGUCCCAACUUCUCAAAGUCCAUGGAUAACGGUAGCAACUAAUGCCCUGCAGACACCACAAUGCUUUGUUCUCUCUAUCAACUGUAGUUUUAAUUUCUUAUUAACUUGAACAACAUCAUGACAAAUACUUGGCCAACAACUCCAUGUUGGAUAUUGUGGCAUCAAAAGAGCUCUGUAGCAAAAUUUAUGUCACACUGCAUUCCCACAUUUCUUAAUUUUUCAAAAUUUAAAAUGAAGAAGGACUAGAGGAGGCUUAAGAGGAUGAGAUGAGGGAGAAGGUUGCCCCAGAAAAGAUCUAGCAUCAAAUACUAAUUUAGAACCCUUAAGUAAAAGGCUUUUUGGAGAGUUAGUGACAAGACUCUUCCUAGUUCAAUACACUUAGCAAAAACAGGUUAAAAUGUUUCUAUUUAGAUUACCCUUUCUUCUUCAUUGUUAGCUGACAGGAGAGAAAGUCCCAAAUACAAGACUAGCAACUGAUCUGUGGUCUUUAUACUGGUCAGAUAAAAUUCUGAAUAACAGUCAUGAUUGCUAUGGGCUGCCUUCUUGGUUUCUAACCCUACUCACAGUAACAAUGCAGUUACAGGCCAUCUCCCUAUCAACAACUUCCUUUCCUGUAUUAUGGAGUGUGGUCAUAUUACUGAUCUCCUUGCAACUGUGCCUUAAACUUCUCCUUACUGACCUUGUACCAGUUGCGGUCAUGCUCUGUUGCAGCACUGUAGUAUUGCAAAACUUUGGGGAUUGUGCUCUCAUUGAUGCCUUGGAGAUUCAGCUGCCACUCACCCAGUUUCAGGAAACACCUGGUUAAGCAAAAGGAUUAUUGACUCUCAGAGAGAACGUAGGAUGAAAAUUAAGAUUUCUGGACUGAGAGGCAGACUUCUUAGGCAAAAUCUGAAAGAUAUUCUGUGUGGUAAACACCCUCUGUAAGCCUCUUCUGCAGACAGGCAGCAUACGUGGUACCUUCAACAGAUAAAAGUUCAAAAAGCCUACAUUCUGUGAGAAGCAAACUGGCUAACGGUUUCGCUUUUAGAGGAUGGAGUAGGGAUCAAACUUUGCUCCCCCUUUAUAUCUAUUAUAAAAUGGAUUUAAGAAGUUAACAGGGGCAUAAAAGGACUUGACUGAUAAAAUGCACACAACCCAUGUGCUGGCUAGCUAUACUUAUCACCAUAUGAACUAGCCUUCUGGAGAAAACACACUGUGACAACCAGCCAGUGGAAACACAGCAAAACUGCUUUUGGGCCAAGCCAGAACCUCAUUAAGUCAUCCCCUCCCUGAGGAAAGAAAAACAAAGCAUUUUCACUGCAGCAGGGUGGGGCUGUGAAAAGCCUAAUACUUCACUCUCUCAGCAGGUUUUAAAUACCACAAUUGCACAUCUGUCCUUUCUACAUUUUGCUGUUUCCAACAAGCCUUGUGCAAGAAAAAUUUUAUGCAUAACUCAUCACUAAUCUGCCUUCCAAGAUAGUCACUAUGGAAAAAAAAAUGAUAGCUGUUACCAGGUUCCCAGUCUCAUAAAAGAGAAUGAGAUGCAUGGCUCUCUUUAAAAACUCCCUUCAGCAAUAAACACUGUGCAAUUUCUUAUUUAAAUGGGAGAUGACAGAAUCAAUAAGGCACCUCGAAAUAUGUGGAAGAAAAUGGAGAUUAUUAGAUGUAUUUUUAAUGCAACAAUAUUUUAAGAGACUAUCACAUGCUGGGUACCCAUUGCCUGAGGCACUGCUGUUGUACUGAGGGCACCAGCUGCCAAGUACAGAUACGCCAGGCAUAAUAGAAAUGCUCUUUUCCUACUGAGUGGAUCCCCUGAAAACCAAAGGAAUAGUCAUGCUGGGAGCUCUACCUUCUGCCAAUGAGCCACAGUGCAGGAAAAAAACAACCAGCUGCCAGUGACAAAUACAAGCUUGUUUACAAUGAUUUGUCACUAUAACAUUUACUGAAAUCAUAAAUAGAUAACGAUGUAAUACCAAACUGCUCUCUACCAACUAGACGAGAAAUAUUCUGUUCCUCCCAAAGUGGAGGUUUUGUCUGAAAUACUUGAUCUGCACAGACCCUGCAACCCCAGGAAGGACAUCAAGUGUUUCCAUACAGGUAAAGGGUCUCCAAGGACCAAAUGCUGACCGUGCCAUGAGCUUGUGGAGUUCCUGCUUGUGCUGCUGGUCUUCAGUCGCAAUAGCAUGCUGUGCCUGUUGCUGCAUUGUCUGCACGAAGUGCUGCAUGUGCUGGAAAGCAUCAAUCUGUAAUUGGACGAUGACAAUGGUAAGGACUGUGGGGGUUAAAUAACUUCACAAGAGAGGAAGACAAUGUGGAAAUAAAUUUUCACAGAAAGUAAAAACUAUACUUUUCUUUCAAAGCCUUUUAACUGCUUACAUCCUUCUAAAAUCAGGUCAUAGGCCUGUUCUGUAGCACCAAAUAAAGAGGUUAGAGAUUCUUAAAUUAACACCUUAUAAAUCUGGACACUGAAUUGCUACACUGAGGAAUUAAUAAAUGUAUCCUUUGA